AGAUCUAUGUUGCAUUUUAUUUAACUAAAAUUGGCUUUUUAUUUUCUAUUUACAUUUUUUUGCUAGUUGUGCAAAUUAUGUUGUUAUUUUACUAGAACAUAGAACGUUCGGAGCACGCCAGGUUACUGGUUAUGAAACUAGCGGUUGUGAAAUUGUCUAAAUCUAUAGUUUAACGUGUCAGUAUCCCGCAUUCAUACAAUACGUAUAAUUUAGUUUUUUCUUUGUAAAAGGUGAAGAUGUAGACUGAGACCGGGUAAACUUACCCGAUGUUACACCGUGUAAUGAGAGCAGGAUGCUGCCAGUACUAAUAUCAUUUAAGUAUGAAUAAGCUUUUCUUAUAUAACCCCCCCCAAAAAAAAAAAAAGUUGCGCUGUCUCUAUGGAUUUAGACAAACAAUACAGUACAACGCCAAAAGGAAAAUGUCGAGUCUAGCAGCUGGUAGUUGUGAGUCCACCAAGACCCAAGAUGCAGGGGAAAAGAAGCCACUUAAACCCUGCUGUGCCUGUCCUGAGACCAAGAAAAUAAGGGAUGCCUGUAUAAUAGAGAGGGGAGAAGAAAGCUGCAAGGAUCCGAUUGAAGCUCAUAAAGACUGCAUGAGGUCACUGGGAUUCAAAGUCUGAUGACUGAUCACAAAGGGAAAGCAAGUCUGUUUGUGGUGGCGUCCGGUGGAAAUUAGCCAUUCCACUACAGUAUUUUCAUCCAUUUUGUUUAACCACUUCAACUCCAGAUGUAAAAAUGAAACCCCUUCCCAGUGUGUUCCUGCUGGCUGGGUGGCUGUGAGAUUCUGGGAUUACCUACUGAAAUAAUUUAUUUCUGCAGAUUUUGUAUCAGUAAAAAAUAACUGAUCUCUCUGGAAUAAAAUAUUUCUAACCAUUUUUUUUCUUCAUAUUAUUCUGCUAUUUCCUUACAAAAAUAGGUUUUAAUAAAAAGAGCUAUCUAAACAUU